GAGAGAAAGAGGCUAUUUGGGGUUUAACGAGCACGUCACCUUGAAACUCUCCCAUUUUCUGUUGUGUUAUUCGCUUCCUUUCUGAAAACCUGUCCAGAGCUAAAAGUAUCACCCGGCAUUUCAGGUCCUAAAAACACUGCUUGAAGCUUCCAUGCCCUUACAGUAUUCGAACUGCUCCAAACAAAAAAACAACCAGGCUUCCUUACACAACUCCUCCAGCUGCACAGCAGCCCCAGCAGCAUUAGUCAUAGCACUGCAUUUGCAUAGACAAGCAUCCCAGACCACAAAAACGAUGACAUUUACAUGAAGAGAGUCGACAUUAGCACAGCACCAAGCACUGCAAUUUGAGCCGAAGGCACGAACACACAACACCAGGUUGUGGUGUCAAAAAGGAUGAUGGUGUGGAGUUCACUUGGAGCCGAAGAACAAGAGAAACAGUACAAACUUCUGCCACAUUACUUAAUAACCACUGAAAUGUGAGAAAUCAGCCCAAACAGCCCCGUGUGUAACACAGCACUUUGGAUGAGCUGGCACCUCCUGCAUUCCUGCCCUCUGAGCUGACAGCAGCUUCUGGAAACCAAACUGAGUGCAGCCAACCAUUAAAGGAUAAUUACAGCCCUCCUGGCAGGACAGGACACUCAUUUGCUGCCUCACCUUCCAUUCCUUUGACCUGCCGUUCCCCCUCGGAAACUCAGCUAAGAACUCAGCUCCCUCCCUUUCAGCCCACUCAGUGUUUGAGCUAUAAAUCACGAGCAAGACUGAGCAAAUAUUCAACCCGGAGGGACGUGGCAAAGCACGAGUAACCGUGCAGGCAAAAGCAGCAGUUCAGGUCUGACAGCAGCUCCUGAACACACCUGGCAGCAGCAGCACAGAGCUGCCAGCCCCAGGCAGGCACGUCCCGGUGCUGAGCACAUCAGGGCAGCUCUGUUUGCCCACACGAUGGUUGUGCUGGGGCUCAUGGCUUUGGAAAGCAUUUUGGGAUCAGCUGUCACAUUAAGAAAAUGUAUUUGGAGAUUUGUACGCGUCUAAAAGGCACCUAUUUGCAAUAAAUAUUUGAGUUAAUGAAUUUCCAA